rnacentral:rRNA from 1 species
UACGGAGGGAGCUAGCGUUGUUCGGAAUUACUGGGCGUAAAGCGCGCGUAGGCGGCUUUGUAAGUUAGAGGUGAAAGCCCGGAGCUCAACUCCGGAACUGCCUUUAAAACUGCAUCGCUUGAAUCCAGGAGAGGUGAGUGGAAUCCGAGUGUAGAGGUGAAAUUCGUAGAUAUUCGGAAGAACACCAGUGGCGAAGGCGGCUCACUGGCCCAUAACGUGACGCUGAGGCACGAAAGCGUGGGGAGCAAACAGG